rnacentral:rRNA from 1 species
UGCUUAACACAUGCAAGUCGAACGAUGAAGCCCAGCUUGCUGGGUGGAUUAGUGGCGAACGGGUGAGUAACACGUGAGUAACCUGCCCUUAACUCUGGGAUAAGCCUGGGAAACUAGGUCUAAUACCGGAUAGGAGCGUCCACCGCAUGGUGGGUGUUGGAAAGAUUUAUCGGUUUUGGAUGGACUCGCGGCCUAUCAGCUUGUUGGUGAGGUAAUGGCUCACCAAGGCGACGACGGGUAGCCGGCCUGAGAGGGUGACCGGCCACACUGGGACUGAGACACGGCCCAGACUCCUACGGGAGGCAGCAGUGGGGAAUAUUGCACAAUGGGCGCAAGCCUGAUGCAGCGACGCCGCGUGAGGGAUGACGGCCUUCGGGUUGUAAACCUCUUUCAGUAGGGAAGAAGCGAAAGUGACGGUACCUGCAGAAGAAGCACCGGCUAACUACGUGCCAGCAGCCGCGGUAAUACGUAGGGUGCGAGCGUUAUCCGGAAUUAUUGGGCGUAAAGAGCUCGUAGGCGGUUUGUCGCGUCUGUCGUGAAAGUCCGGGGCUUAACCCCGGAUCUGCGGUGGGUACGGGCAGACUAGAGUGCAGUAGGGGAGACUGGAAUUCCUGGUGUAGCGGUGGAAUGCGCAGAUAUCAGGAGGAACACCGAUGGCGAAGGCAGGUCUUCUGGGCUGUACUACCGCUAG